rnacentral:tRNA from 1 species
CCGACCUUAGCUCAGCUGGAAGAGCGUCAGACUGUAACGGUUAACAUCAUCUGGACGUCGUGUGUUCAAUCCACACAGGUCGGA